UCCCUGGUGGUCUGGUAGUUAAGACUCAGCACUUUCACUGCUGAGGCCAGGGUCCAAUCCCUGGUCAGGGAA
rnacentral:tRNA from 1 species